GGACAGUGAACACAGCUGCAAAGAUCAUCGGUGCCCCUCUCCCCUCCAUUCUGGACAUUUUCUUUGCACGAUACUGUUGGUUUUGC